UACGGCCGCAUCAUGUUGAAACACCGGUUCCCGUAUGAUCACCGAAGUUAAACAACGUCGAAUCUGGCCAAUACCUAGAUGGGUAAACGCUUGAGAAUAUCAGGUGCUGUAA